AAGGAGGGGAGGAGCCUCUUCCGUUCAUCUACUAACUAAUUGGCUAUCGAAGGAGGGGAGGAGCCUCUUCCGUUCAUCUACUAACUAAUUAGCACCACUCGACCACUAAUCGGUUUCCGGAUCACGCAGGAGAGAGGACAGACUUUUUCCCAAAUGAGAAAAGGCCGUCCAUACAUACAUAGAAGAGUCUGUCCUUCUAGCGGUUGAUACUCAGAGAGAUACUAGUCUCUCUGAGACCAGAGGGACAGGUCAGUAAAACACAGAACAAUAAGGGACGAAAAUAGCUUUGAAUAGCUUUUCCCUGAAUAGGAGAAACUCUGGGGCUCCACGCUCACGUCGCUGACUGUCUGUGUAGGAAAACAAUAUGGCCACCCUGCAGUGAGAAGAGAACACCACUCAGCCUGACAACCAGGCUUCAUUGGGUGAGUCUGGGACUACGUCCUAAAUGGCACCCUAUUCCCUACAUAGUGCACUACUUUAUACCAGAGCUCUAUGGGCCCUGGCACCCUAUUCCCUAUAUAGUGCACUACUUUAGACCAGAGCCCUAUUCCCUACAUAGUGCACUACUUUAGACCAGAGCCCUAUGGCACCCUAUUCCCUACAUAGUGCACUACUUUAGACCAGAGCCUGUGUAGGGAAUAGGGUGACGUUCACUGUCUGCACUGGAAACUGGUGCAGAGAGGAGAGGAGGAGAGAGAGAAAGGAAGGAAAGGAGGAGAGAGAGAAAGGAAGGAAAGGAGGAGAGAGAGAAAGAAAGGAAAGGAAAGGAGGAGAGAGAGAAAGAAGAAAGGAAAGGAGGAGAGAGAGAAAGGAAGGAGAGGAAAACUGGCAGGCAGACUGGAUGACUCUGGGGAGAAGAGAGGAGGGAGGGAGGGGAGAAGGAGGGAGGGAGAUGGGAGGUAAAGAACAAGGAGGGAGGGAGAUGGGAGGUAAAGAACAAGGAGGGAGGGAGAUGGGAGGUAAAGAGGAAGGGAGUCUGGAGAGAAUGCAAAGUGAGGGAGAUGGAUAGAUGUAAAUGAGGGGAGAGAGAGCAGGCAGAGUGAGGGAGAUGUAGGGAGAGAGAGCAGGCAGAGUGAGGGAGAGAGAGAGAGAGCAGGCAGAGUGAGGGAGAGAGAGAGAGCAGGCAGAGUGAGGGAGAUGUAGGGAGAGAGAGCAGGCAGAGUGAGGGAGAGAGAGAGAGCAGGCAGAGUGAGGGAGGGAGAGAGAGCAGGCAGAGUGAGGGAGGGAGAGAGAGCAGGCAGAGUGAGGGAGAUGUAGGGAGAGAGAGCAGGCAGAGUGAGGGAGAUGUAGGGAGAGAGAGCAGGCAGAGUGAGGGAGAUGUAGGGAGAGAGAGCAGGCAGAGUGAGGGAGAUUUAGGGAGAGAGACCAG
ensembl:lncRNA